rnacentral:rRNA from 1 species
AGAGUUUGAUCCUGGCUCAGAUUGAACGCUGGCGGCAGGCCUAACACAUGCAAGUCGAGCGCGAAAGGCUUUCGGGCUGAGUAGAGCGGCGGACGGGUGAGUAACGCGUAGGAAUCUACCUGGUAGUGGGGGACAACUUGGGGAAACUCAAGCUAAUACCGCAUACGCCCCAAGGGGGAAAGCGGGGGACCUUCGGGCCUCGUGCUAUCGGAUGAGCCUGCGUAGGAUUAGCUUGUUGGUGAGGUAAAGGCUCACCAAGGCGACGAUCCUUAGCUGGUCUGAGAGGAUGAUCAGCCACACUGGAACUGAGACACGGUCCAGACUCCUACGGGAGGCAGCAGUGGGGAAUAUUGCGCAAUGGGGGCAACCCUGACGCAGCCAUGCCGCGUGUGUGAAGAAGGCCUUAGGGUUGUAAAGCACUUUCAAAGGGGAAGAAAAGUUUAACGUUAAUAGCGUUGAGCCGUGACAUUACCCUUAGAAGAAGCACCGGCUAACUCCGUGCCAGCAGCCGCGGUAAUACGGAGGGUGCGAGCGUUAAUCGGAAUUACUGGGCGUAAAGCGCGCGUAGGCGGUUUGUUAAGUCAGCUGUGAAAGCCCCGGGCUCAACCUGGGAACUGCAGUUGAUACUGGCCGACUGGAGUACGAGAGAGGGAGGUAGAAUUCCAUGUGUAGCGGUGAAAUGCGUAGAUAUAUGGAGGAAUACCAGUGGCGAAGGCGGCCUCCUGGCUCGAUACUGACGCUGAGGUGCGAAAGCGUGGGGAUCAAACAGGAUUAGAUACCCUAGUAGUCC